UUGCACGCUGGUUAGGAGUGAGGUAGGCUUUGCACGCUGGUUAGGAGUGAGAUAGCCUUGCACACUGGUCAGGAGUGAGAUAGGCUUUACACGCUGGUCAGGAGUUAGGUAGGCUUUGCGUUUCUUUAAGGCAUGAGCACAGUUAGGUUUGCGCCACACAUAGCACUUUGACUUUUGGCCGAUCUUGGUCUGUCUUGGUCUCUUUGUCCAGAUCUUAGCUGGAUACCUCUUGUGCUGUCUGGUGAACUCCAGACAGGCUUUGAAUUGUUUUUUUUGAUGGGUGUCUUUCCUCCCAUCCUCCCAUACAGGCCAGUGAUAAAGACCACAGCUCUUGAUAUAGCUGACUGAUGCACCUCUACUCCACUCUCAGCCACUGAGCUCUGUAGGUCUUUCAGAGUGAUUGCUGGUAUCCUUCACAGGUCUGCUUCUUGUUCGGAUGCUGAGUUCUGAGGAACAGCCUUUUCCAGGCAGUGUCCGGGUGGUGUGACACAGCCUCCCACUCCUUGAUUAUUGAGCCGACAGUGCUCACUGGGAUAUCCAGGCACUGUGAUAUUUCUCGUACUCAUUGCCUAAUCUAUCCAAUUUUCAAUCACUUUAUCUCUGAUGUCCUUAGAAUGCUCUUUAGUCUUCAUUUUCAUGGCUUUAUAGCUUUACUUCAGAUUCACUGCCUGACCAAUGAUCCUGAAACACACUGGGGGUUUUAUCCAGUAAAUGUGACAGUCACUUCAGUAAGUGUGACAGUGACUAGGCAGGGGCCAAUGGUAACACAAUUGUAUCCUUGUCAGGGCAAUUUCAUUCACCUGUGUUAAUUCAGAGCCAUGAGAUUAGAAGGGCUGGAAUACUUAUGCAAGCAGCAUAUACACACCCGUAUACAGUAUAUAUACUGUGCACACUGUACACACAGUCUACUCUAUCUAUAUACUGUGCAUGUGCACACUGUACACAAACUCUCAUUGUAUAUAUAUACUGUGCACACAGUACACACAACUCUGUAUAUACUGUGCACAGUACACACACUCUACUCGGUAUAUAUGCUGUUCAGUCUCUACACACUCUCUACUCUGGAUAUACUGUAUACUGAAGGCAUUGUGAGUACUGCAGAGCAUAACUUGCCAGUGUGCACACAGUGUAAUCAAUCCUUUUUCUGUGUCUUCCAGUCUGUGGCACGAGUACCCCCUGUGACCCAGCGCUGUGGAGAAGAGAGCGAAGAGUGAAUGUCUUCAGUGUUACACACACCAGCACCUCUAUUCCAGAGCCCUGCGCUCCUCUUUUAUACUGGAUUGUAAUCACAGCUUUGACAUAGUGAUUGUUCAAGAAAGAUUAAAAUUUUAGAUUUUGGAAACUGCA